AAAACGACUCUCGGCAACGGAUAUCUAGGCUCUCGCAUCGAUGAAGAACGUAGCGAAAUGCGAUACUUGGUGUGAAUUGCAAAUCCCGCGAAUCAUCGAGUUUUUGAACGCAAGUUGCGCCCGAAGCCAUUCGGCCGAGGGCACGUCUGCCUGGGUGUCACGC
rnacentral:rRNA from 1 species